rnacentral:rRNA from 1 species
UGCGUAGGUGGUUUGUUAAGUCUGCUGUGAAAGCCCCGGGCUCAACCUGGGAAUGGCAGUGGAUACUGGCAAGCUGGAGUGCGGUAGAGGGUAGUGGAAUUCCCGGUGUAGCGGUGAAAUGCGUAGAGAUCGGGAGGAACACCAGUGGCGAAGGCGGCUACCUGGACCAGCACUGACACUGAGGCACGAAAGCGUGGGAGCAAACA